rnacentral:rRNA from 1 species
UACGGGGGGGGCAAGCGUUGUUCGGAAUUACUGGGCGUAAAGGGCUCGUAGGCGGCCAACUAAGUCAGACGUGAAAUCCCUCGGCUUAACCGGGGAACUGCGUCUGAUACUGGAUGGCUUGAGUGUGGGAGAGGGAUGCGGAAUUCCAGGUGUAGCGGUGAAAUGACGUAGAUAUCUGGAGGAACACCGGUGGCGAAGGCGGCAUCCUGGACCAUUACUGACGCUGAGUGAGCGAAAGCCAGGGGAGCAAACGGGG